GGAGGGUUAGGGGGGUUUGGAUGGAUAGGCGGGUUAGGAGGGUUAGGAGGGUUAGGCGGGUUAGGAGGGUUAGGAGGGUUAGGAGGUUAGGGGGUUAGGAGGGUUAGGAGGGUUUAGGAGGGUUAGGAGGGUUAGGAGGGUUAGGGGGUUUAGGAGGGUUAGGCGGGUUAGGAGGGUUAGGAGGUUUAGGAGGGUUAGGAGGGUUAGGAGGUUUAGGAGGGUUAGGCGGGUUAGGAGGGUUAGGAGGUUUAGGAGGGUUAGGAGGGUUAGGGGUUUAGGAGGGUUAGGAGGGUUAGGGGGGGUUAGGGGUUUAGGAGGGUUAGGCGGGUUAGGCGGGUUAGGAGGUUUAGGCAGGUUAGGCGGGUUUAGGAGGGUUAGGAGGGUUAGGGGGUUUAGGAGGGUUAGGAGGGUUAGGAUGAUU
ensembl:lncRNA